rnacentral:lncRNA from 1 species
UUCAACUCUCCAAACCCUAAUACAUCGCUAGCCUCUUAUAUACAUGAGGAGGCACAAGGGUACAUCUUAACCUAAAGCUUAAGUUAGCACACGCCAACAUCAAGUAGCUGGAAUCGGUUCACGGUAAGGAUAGGAUGCUCUGAUCUCCUCUGAGCUGGCUUCUCCGUACACAGAAGACGACAAGAGCUCAAGUUCUUCCUUUUACUCAGAACUGUAUCAACGGCUAGUAUUGAGACUUCAGUGGGCUUAACGGGCUUGUCAACAUG